UACAGAGGUCUCAAGCGUUGUUCGGAUUCAUUGGGCGUAAAGGGCGCGUAGGCUGCGGGGCAAGUCGGGUGUGAAAUCUUGGAGCUUAACUCCGAAACUGCAUUCGAUACUGCGGUGCUUGAGGACUGGAGAGGAGACUGGAAUUCAUGGUGUAGCAGUGAAAUGCGUAGAGAUCAUGAGGAAGACCAGUGGCGAAGGCGGGUCUCUGGGCCGAUACUGACGCUGAGGAGCGAAAGCGUGGGGAGCGAACAGG
rnacentral:rRNA from 1 species